AUUGUUAAUAAAUGUUGUGGUAUAUAUAUAUAUAAUUUCUAUAUAUUCUUGAUAUCAAUCAUUAAACAGCAUACACCAGAAUAUCUCCUGGUGAGUGGCUUGUAUUUGCUGUUUUGUCUAUGCCACACGUCACGUGGGAUCCUAGUUAUCCAAGCAGGGAUUGAAACACGUCCCCUUCGUUGGAGGCGUGGAGUCUUAACCUCUGGACCACCAGGGAAGUCCCUCGUGUCCUCUUUCUUGAGGGGGUUUCCUGGAAAUAAUUACUGCUUUCCUCCCCACUCCUUCCCCAGAAUGCUCUCUUGUUUGGAUCCAGUCCACCACCAGAUCCUGUCCAUUCUUCAUUGGACUCUCCAGUCCCACAGCCAGUCGAUGCAAGUUUGCAUUUAUCAUCUUCCCCAGCUGAUCACCCUCAACUUCAGCCUUAAGCUCUGAGCUCAGAUGCAAGCAUCCAGGGUCGGAGGAACAGGAAAGAGAGGAAUCGCUGGUCUCUGAGCACAUUUGAAGAGAAAUUUUAAGGUAGUAAACCGUCAUGAUGUUUGUCUAAACUAUGGCAAAACAUCCCGAGAAGAAACAAGGAUAAAUUAAGGGUGGGAGGCAUUUAGAGAAGGUCAAAACAAGGAGAGCUGAGUUUGACCCAGGUUGUAUGAUUCCGUUGCCUGAAAAGUCCAGGCGGGACCAACCCAUAUAGCCAGGAAGCAGGCUGAUUGCCAGGGCUGUGAGUCUGUGGGGAGGGCGGGGUGGUGAGUGACUAUCAGUACUGGGCAUGGGUUUCUUUUUAAGAUGACAGAAGUGUUCUGGAAUGAGACAGCAGUGAUGAUGGUACAACUCCGUGAAUACGCUAAAACCCCUGAAUUUUACAGGGUGGACUUUAUGGUAUGUGAAUUAUAUCUAAAAACGAUGGGUGCUGUCUUUUAAAAUGAAUUUACUAACACUGUCCUAACUGACGGCACAGGCCCUGGCCCUUCCCAAGGCUGUCCGGCCCACGUGAGAGCGGAGCUCUGUCUCGCUCCAUCUCUAGCCUCAUCUGGCCAGGAGCCCGACACCCUAAAUGCCCAGCAGGAGAAAGCACAGACAGAAUUUGAAUCUUGGCUCUAUCAGUUUCCAUAUGAAUAAUCUUGGGCAAGUUACUUACCCUCUCUGAGCCUCAGUGUCCUCAUCUGUCAAAUAAAGAUGAGGAUAGUAUUUAUCUC
rnacentral:lncRNA from 1 species